UAACGCGUGAGGAACCUGCCUCAAAGAGGGGGACAACAGUUGNAAACGACUGCUAAUACCGCAUAAGCCCACGACCCGGCAUCGGGUUGAGGGAAAAGGAGCAAUCCGCUUUGAGAUGGCCUCGCGUCCGAUUAGCUAGUUGGUGAGGUAACGGCCCACCAAGGCGACGAUCGGUAGCCGGACUGAGAGGUUGAACGGCCACAUUGGGACUGAGACACGGCCCAGACUCCUACGGGAGGCAGCAGUGGGGAAUAUUGCACAAUGGGGGAAACCCUGAUGCAGCGACGCCGCGUGGAGGAAGAAGGUCUUCGGAUUGUAAACUCCUGUUGUUGAGGAAGAUAAUGACNGUACUCAACAAGGAAGUGACGGCUAACUACGUGCCAGCAGCCGCGGUAAAACGUAGGUCACAAGCGUUGUCCGGAAUUACUGGGUGUAAAGGGAGCGCAGGCGGGAAGACAAGUUGGAAGUGAAAUCCAUGGGCUCAACCCAUGAACUGCUUUCAAAACUGUUUUUCUUGAGUAGUGCAGAGGUAGGCGGAAUUCCCGGUGUAGCGGUGGAAUGCGUAGAUAUCGGGAGGAACACCAGUGGCGAAGGCGGCCUACUGUCACCAACUGACGCUGAGGCUCGAAAGUGUGGGUAGCAAACAGGAUUUAGAUACCCUGGUAGUCCACACUGUAAACGAUGAUUACUAGGUG
rnacentral:rRNA from 1 species